GACGAACGCUGGCGGCGUGCUUAACACAUGCAAGUCGAACGGUAAGGCCCUUCGGGGUACACGAGUGGCGAACGGGUGAGUAACACGUGGGUGAUCUGCCCUGCACUUCGGGAUAAGCUUGGGAAACUGGGUCUAAUACCGGAUAGGACCACUGCCUGCAUGGGUGGUGGUGGAAAGCUUUUGCGGUGUGGGAUGGGCCCGCGGCCUAUCAGCUUGUUGGUGGGGUGAUGGCCUACCAAGGCGACGACGGGGAGCCGGCCUGAGAGGGUGACCGGCCACACUGGGACUGAGAUACGGCCCAGACUCCUACGGGAGGCAGCAGUGGGGAAUAUUGCACAAUGGGCGCAAGCCUGAUGCAGCGACGCCGCGUGAGGGAUGACGGCCUUCGGGUUGUAAACCUCUUUCAGCACCGACGAAGCGCAAGUGACGGUAGGUGCAGAAGAAGGACCGGCCAACUACGUGCCAGCAGCCGCAGUAA
rnacentral:rRNA from 1 species